GCAAAGUAAUGCAAUGGAUCUCUUACUUUGUCUUGUGAACACAGGGGAGAAAUACAACAAUGGAAAGGGGAGCAAAAAGACCUCCAUUUGAUCAUUGGAGUUUCAGAUGGGCCAGCCAGAAGGAGGCCGCUUUUAAGAAACAACGCCGGGAGACAGCAAGAGACAAACUGCUGUGCCCAAGGAGGAAGGGUUCGCAAACAGUCCUAUCUGAAAUGAGACCCGCGUUCUUCAGCAGAAGCAUAAGAAUAUUUACUGUUUAGAUAGUGGGGAAAGUCCUUCAUCUUCAAAGGAUCAAAAGCUCAUUUUAAAGGAACCCUGACCCGAAGAUAUCUCCUCAACAGCCUUCCAUCCCAUCAUCUUCAGCCAAAGAUCCUUGCUCUCCGGCCUCUCCCUCCGCCACCAAACCCACCUGGCCAACUGAAGAAAUCCUUCCGUUCCGUCUUUCCUCCCUCCCUGCCCUGCCCUUCCCUCUCCCUCACCUCCUGCCUCCUUUCUGGAGCAUGCCUUGCUGCUAUAGCUUAUCAUUAUUGUAGGAAAUAUAGUAUAAUCAACCACCCUCCAAAUAGAUCUAGAUUCCUUUUUUUUUCAAUUUAAAAUAUCUUAUGUAUUAUUUACUAUUCCGUUCACAAAUUAUUUGUACCGUAUUUGAUAUUUAUAAAUUCUUUUUUUCUCUAUAUAAAAUAUUAAAGUCUUCUAUAUAGUGUAUGUUAAAAUCUACUCAGUCCUUCCUUUAUAUAUAUAUUUAAAGUGAUCUGUCAUUACAUAGCCAAACAUCUAUUUAAUUCAUGGGUCCCCAACCUAGAGGUUUGGACCCCCAAGGGGGUCACUUCUUGUUUUCUGAGGGAAAGUGGUUCUUUUUAGUUGCAAUUAUUUUUACUUUUGUUAUGUUGAAUAUGGCAUAACCAGAGCUAGUUUAUUUUAGUUCUCUUGGACCACUGAUUGGCCCCCUUUAAUCUGAACUGGAUUUGCAGGCCAUCUGGAGUCCUUUCAGGGGGAGGGAUUUUCCCCUCAUGCCUGCGCAUGGUUUCCAACUUCGAACGAUGUGCUCUGUAUCGUUUCUCUCUGCCCUCCAUGUCCGCCUUUUGGGGGACUGAGGUCGGCUUUUUGGAUGGGGAGGCUGAGCCGCCUCAAAGAGGGCCUGGACGAGGCGAGUGCAGGAUGCCUGCCAGGAAGGCAGCCCCUCCCCCAAGAUGGCGGUGGGACUGAACCGUUGUUGCUGCCACAGCUGUGGACCCUUUCUCUCCACCUGAGUCUCUGGCUCUUCUGGGUGGGGUGAUGGAGGCGCAGGGAAGGGAGAGGAGACCUGGGCA
rnacentral:lncRNA from 1 species